UCCUACCUGCCGUGUGGAUGAAAAUCAGAAGUCCUUGGGAUGUGGAGCUAUUUAAAAAUAAAUGCGGCGUAUGUAACCAUAGCAAGCGAUUAUAUCAAUUCUAAAUGGACUUUGCCCUAAGAAAAAUAAAAAGCCCAGCUUUGGGGCUUUAUUUCAUUUAUGAGAACCCAAGUGAAUUGAGCGUGAUUGAAGGGCCCGUGUUUGGCUGGGCUCCUCCAUGUAAUGUGGGCUCAUUGCACUGGUUUGAGUGGACCCAGCUGUAAAACCAAGAGGGCCCUCUGGACACAAUCUCUUCCCAGAUGCUGAAAACACCUCCUCUUUGAGAAGCCGGAGGAAUAAUUCUGCCCCAACAAUAGGACAUUCUUCCUUCUUGAAGGUUUUAUUUUUCCAGGGAGUAGGAAUGGAGCAGGAGGUUACUCUCUACCGCCAGGCAAUGCCCCGAGCAGGGACAGAGUCCUAACCUAGUUAGGAGACUGGGAAUUUGAUCCGGCACCCGGAGAGAAAAUGGCCCUGUGUUUCUCAUUAGACACAGCACCCUUGUCCCUGUAGCACAGGUACCGUGUCCCGGUGUGCGUGUACACAGCGCAUGCGCCAGCACGGCCAGACCGGAUGGGGACAGGAACCCCUAAGGCUCUGGGAACCUGACUUUCUUUGUGUCACCGAGGGCAUCACACUUACAGAAUGCUUUCCCACACCUUCAGCCAACCGCGUUCAGCCUUCAGCCUAUGCCGUGGAGCUCGGCAGCUGGAAACCAUCUGUGUGGCCAUCACCCGCCUUUUCUUGCCUCUUCUUCGCACCGUGAUUUCCUGGCUGGGUUGGGCAGGACUCUGCUGGGGCAUCUGAAGGAUCUCCAAAGACGUUCCCCCAGGAGUGCACAGCAUCCCUCAUGGCGAUCCUUCCAUCCUUGGCAAUGUCAAGGACAACUACAGCUACAAUGACUGGUAUUGCUCAUGUGCUUGGAAGGCGUCAGACAGUGUUCUCACCAGGGUAGAACUAUGAUUCCUUUCAGCUUGCAUUCAGAACACUCUUAGAAGAUACCAUUCCUAAUGCCAUUUUCUGCUUAGAAAAUGGAAGCCCCAUGCAAGUAAAUCGUUUUCCUAAGGUCACAAAAAGCCUGAGUUUCAAACCCAAGCCUCCUCAUUCUAAAACCUAUGGCUCCUCGUCUUCAUGCUAUACUAUUAUCUACAAAAUUCCUUCUAAGAUUGCUGCUCUAGAGAAUCUAUUUUUCUAUAAUACCCACCUGUAGGCUGUAUUUGCAUAUUCUUGUAAGUUUAAGCCUCUUUCCCAUGACAGACCUUCAAAUAUUCAAUGGCGAACAUCACAUUCCCUUGCGUGGUCUGUUCUUGUGGUUCAGCAUCAUUGAUUUUUUUUUUCUGCCAGAUCAAAGAUUGCAAGAGACUGGGCAUUUUGAUCCUGAGUUCUGGUCCCCUGUUCUGUAACUAUCUUUACCGCAAAUUGAACUUGGAGUGGCAAAGGAACCAUGGGAUCCAUGGGAACCAUGUAUUUGAGUGAUCACGCCUCUCUGAAUAUCCUGGUAUCGGAUCCUUUCGUCUCUCUCUCCUGGCUCAGUUUAAGUCCAAUGCUUUCUAAAAGUCUGAAAUACCUGGCAGCUACAUUUUAAUUUGGCCUGUCUCUAUCAUUGUGUGUGACUCUCUCUGUUUAAGCGUUCUCAGCUGGUGGACACCCCUCUCCAGAUAAUGAUUUACCAUCAAAAUCAAACAACAAACUCAAUAACCCCCUUACCAUGGCCUUUGACCUUGGGGACCACAGGUCAUGCCAUCCCUCCCUGCUGUAGAGCAAUA
rnacentral:lncRNA from 1 species